rnacentral:rRNA from 1 species
UACGUAGGGACCGAGCGUUGUCCGGAUUCAUUGGGCGUAAAGAGCUCGUAGGCGGUCUGUCGCGUCUGCUGUGAAAACUCAGGGCUUAACCCUGAGCUUGCAGUGGGUACGGGCAGACUAGAGUGCGGUAGGGGAGACUGGAAUUCCUGGUGUAGCGGUGAAAUGCGCAGAUAUCAGGAGGAACACCGGUGGCGAAGGCGGGUCUCUGGGCCGUAACUGACGCUGAGGAGCGAAAGCAUGGGGAGCGAACAGG